rnacentral:lncRNA from 1 species
GGAUGUUCUUGUUUAAAGAUGGGGACAAAAACACUAUUUUUUUCCAUGUUGUGGUAAAAAAAAAAAAAAAAAAAAAAAAAAAAAAAAAAAAAAAAACUUCUAGUGGGAUUCAUAGAUUAAGAACUGAUAAUGGUGUUAUUGAGAAUCUUAAGCCCAUUAAGGAUUCUAUUUUCGAUUUUUAUAGAAAUCUCUAUGAUGAUUUUAAUUCUAA